CGGUCCCCCACAUUGGUACUGAGACACGGACCAGACUCCUACGGGAGGCAGCAGUGAGGAAUAUUGGUCAAUGGGCGCAAGCCUGAACCAGCCAUCCCGCGUGAAGGAAGAAUGCGCUAUGCGUUGUAAACUUCUUUUCCAGGGGAAUAAAAUUUCGUACGAGUACGGGACUGAAGGUACCUUGGGAAUAAGCAUCGGCUAACUCCGUGCCAGCAGCCGCGGUAAUACGGAGGAUGCGAGCGUUAUCCGGAUUUAUUGGGUUUAAAGGGUGCGUAGGCGGAAAAAUAAGUCAGUGGUGAAAACCUUCAGCUUAACUGGAGACUUGCCAUUGAUACUGUUAUUCUUGAGUAUAGUUAAGGUAGGCGGAAUGUGUAAUGUAGCGGUGAAAUGCUUAGAUAUUACACAGAACACCAAUUGCGAAGGCAGCUUACUGAGCUAUAACUGACGCUGAUGCACGAAAGCGUGGGGAGCGAACAGGAUUAGAUACCCUGGUAGUCCACGCCGUAAACGAUGAUCACUCGCUGUUGGCGAUACACAGUCAGCGGCUAAGCAAAAGCAUUAA
rnacentral:rRNA from 1 species